rnacentral:rRNA from 1 species
UACGUAGGGUGCGAGCGUUGUCCGGAAUUAUUGGGCGUAAAGAGCUCGUAGGCGGUGUGUCGCGUCGGCCGUGAAAACCUGCAGCUUAACUGUGGGCUUGCGGUCGAUACGGGCAUCACUGGAGUUCGGCAGGGGAGACUGGAAUUCCUGGUGUAGCGGUGAAAUGCGCAGAUAUCAGGAAGAACACCAAUGGCGAAAGCAGCUCUCUGGGACGGUACUGACGCUGAGACGCGAAAGCGUGGGGAGCGAACAGG